rnacentral:lncRNA from 10 species
ACCCAACACACACAUACACUCACACACCCAACACACACACCCACAACACACACUGACACACACUCACACACACCCAACAUACACACACCCCCCAACACACACACUCACAUACACUCAAACACACACCCAACACACACAGAGGAGUCCUUCUCCAUGCUGCUAACCUGAGCAGCCUUCUCUAUGCCUCCAUCGCAUCUCACAACUCUGUGGCUUAAGAUUCUCCAGUGGCUUCCCACUGCACUUAGACAACAAUCUGUGAGGGUGACGUGAAGGUGCAACAUUUAUGGGGAGCAACUCUGGGGCACAGUGAAAGGGAGUGAAGGAGAAAAAGCCCCGAUCAUUAAGCCAGACAAG